rnacentral:rRNA from 1 species
GACGUAGGAGGCGAGCGUUAUCCGGAUUUACUGGGCGUAAAGGGCAAGUAGGCGGCGGCAGAAGUUGUGCGUGAAAUCUCCCGGCUCAACUGGGAGGGAGCGUGCAAAACUGGGUCGCUAGAGGGCAGAAGAGGGGAGCAGAAUUCCUGGUGUAGCGGUGGAAUGCUCAGAUACCAGGAGGAAUACCAGUGGCGAAGGCGGCUCUCUGGUCUGAACCUGACGCUGAAGAGCGAAAGCUAGGGGAGCGAACGGG